GUCAGCUCGUGUCGUGAGAUGUUGGGUUAAGUCCCGCAACGAGCGCAACCCUCGAGAUUUGUUGUUACAGACUGUAAAGGUGCUGAACCCUCAAAUUUGACUGCCGGUGACAAGCCGGAGGAAGGUGGGGAUGACGUCAAAUCAUCACGCCCCUUAUGUCCAGGGCUACACACGUGUUACAAUGGGACAGGACAACGGGUUGCUUUGCUGCGAAGUAUGGCUAAUCCUUAAACCUGCCCUCAGUUCGGAUCGUAGUCUGCAACUCGACUACGUGAAGUCGGAAUCGCUAGUAAAGGCGGAUCAGAACGCCGCCUUGAAUACGUUCCCGGGCCUUGUACACACCGCCCGUCACACCACGAAAGAAGGCUAUGCCCGAAGUCGGUCAGCCAACCCUUUGGGAGGCAGCUGCCUAAGGUAGAGCUUUUGAUUGGGGUGAAGUCGUAACAAGGUAACC
rnacentral:rRNA from 1 species